AGUUGAUCGGCAUCGUUCACUGAUCACAUAUUUGUGAAUUCACCUCCUUGCUAAAAUUUAUUUGUAACAUUAAUGUAUACUUGUGGCGCCUUUGCAGUCAUCUGUGCCCAUGCACAGACCAAUGACAAAUUUGAGUUGCCCAACUGGCAUGUUCCCCAGAUGAGAUUGGUUGGCAAAGUGAAGUUUUGCCUUUUUUUUUUUUUUUGAGACAGAGUUUUGCUCUUGUUGCCCAGGCUGGCAUGCAAUGGCAUGACCUCGGCUCGCUGCAACCUCUGCCUCCCAGGUUCAAGUGAUUCUCCUGCCUCAGUCUCCAGAGUAGCUGGGAUGCCAGGCACACACCACCACGCUCAGCUAAUUUUUGUAUUUUUAGUAGAGACGGUGUUUCCCCAUGUUGGCCAGGCUGGUUUCGAACUCCUGACCUCCAGGUGAUCCACCUGCCUCGGCCUCCCAAAGUGCUGGGAUGACAGGUAUGAGCCACUGCGACCGGUCAAGUUUUGCCUUCUUGUUUCAGCUCUCAUACUGCAAACCUGUGUCCUCUUCGCAGUAUACUUAGUGCCACAUUUUUGGCAUUUCAUGCUUUUUCCCGGUGAUGUUGCUGUUUAAAAUGGCCAUGAAGGGCAGUGCUGAAGUGCUAGCUAGUGCUGCUAAGUGAUGUGCCACAGAAGACUGCAACGUGCCGCACCAAGAAAAUCACCCCAGUGGUAGAUGAGCUCUUUGCAGGCAGGAGUUACAGUGCUGUUGCCUGUGCGGUCAAUGUUAAUGAAUCCACUGUAUAUUAAAUACGGUGUCUUUUGAACAAAAGCCACACGGAAAACAGUUAUAUAUUGAUUGGUUGGUGAAAAUGUUGAGACUGCAGGCUCACAGGAACCUAGCCUUGUACUUCCCCUAAGGACAAUGGUUCAGCAUGUGCUAAUUCAGUGUUCAUGGCAACUUUAUAGAACAUAACUGCUACAAAAAAUAAGCAACAGUAACUGCAACAACUGCAAUGUGAUGUGAAAAUAUUUGUGACAAGGACUAAUUCAGCUGUGUUUUGUUACCUACAUUCAUUAUGAAAGGAAAUGCUAAAUUUUAGCAUUAGCAUUUAGAAGACAGUGAAGACUUAUUUUUUUUCCCAUUCAAGUUUACAGGCACUAUUAAUUCUGGGGAUCCCUAAGGACCCUAGUUAAGAAAAUUUUCUCAGUUGGAUUAAAUCAGUGACAGAGCAGGGAGGGAUUGGGAAGCUGGUGCGGAUUCUGGGGAGAUUCAGGUCCGGUCACAUUGUGUAUCAAUACAAGUCCCAUAUAGAGAUUUUUAGCUGAUCUGCUUUUUCUGGGGGGCUGACUUUAUUUUUGUCACCAGGGCCUGAACCCAAAAGGCUCAGCAUGAAAUGAAAAAUGCUCAUGGUGGGUGGAAAUAGAAAUUUUGGUAAUUACUCAUGUGGCAAAUAGUGAGCUCUAUUUCAAUAGUGUAGGGCAAGCCAGGUCUCUCCUCUGAUAACAGGAGAGAGUAUCUGUUUCUUUUUUUUUUUUUUUUUUUUUGAGACAAGGUCUCAUUCUAUCCCCCAGGCUGGAGUGCAGCGGUGCAGUCUGGGCUCACUCCCUCGACCUCCUGCUGGGCUCAAGUGAUCUUCCCAAGCAGCUAGGACUGCAGGUGUGUGCCA
rnacentral:lncRNA from 1 species